GACGAACGCUGGCGGCGUGCUUAACACAUGCAAGUCGAACGGAAAGGCCCUGCUUUUGUGGGGUGCUCGAGUGGCGAACGGGUGAGUAACACGUGAGUAACCUGCCCUUGACUUUGGGAUAACUUCAGGAAACUGGGGCUAAUACCGGAUAGGAGCUCCUGCUGCAUGGUGGGGGUUGGAAAGUUUCGGCGGUUGGGGAUGGACUCGCGGCUUAUCAGCUUGUUGGUGGGGUAGUGGUUUACCAAGGCUUUGACGGGUAGCCGGCCUGAGAGGGUGACCGGCCACAUUGGGACUGAGAUACGGCUCAGACUCCUACGGGAGGCAGCAGUGGGGAAUAUUGCACAAUGGGCGGAAGCCUGAUGCAGCAACGCCGCGUGCGGGAUGACGGCCUUCGGGUUGUAAACCGCUUUCGCCUGUGACGAAGCGUGAGUGACGGUAAUGGGUAAAGAAGCACCGGCUAACUACGUG
rnacentral:rRNA from 1 species